rnacentral:rRNA from 1 species
GACGAACGCUGGCGGCGUGCUUAACACAUGCAAGUCGAACGGAAAGGCCCUGCUUUUGUGGGGUGCUCGAGUGGCGAACGGGUGAGUAACACGUGAGUAACCUGCCCUUGACUUUGGGAUAACUUCAGGAAACUGGGGCUAAUACCGGAUAGGAGCUCCUGCUGCAUGGUGGGGGUUGGAAAGUUUCGGCGGUUGGGGAUGGACUCGCGGCUUAUCAGCUUGUUGGUGGGGUAGUGGCUUACCAAGGCUUUGACGGGUAGCCGGCCUGAGAGGGUGACCGGCCACAUUGGGCCUGAGAUACGGCCAAGACUGCUACGGGAGGCAGCAGUGGGGAAUAUUGCACAAUGGGCGGAAGCCUGAUGCAGCAACGCCGCGUGCGGGAAGACGGCCUUCGGGUUGUAAACCGCUUUCGCCUGUGACGAAGCGUGAGUGACGGUAAUGGGUAAAGAAGCACCGGCUAACUACGU